rnacentral:rRNA from 1 species
AACGCGAAAGUCCUCUUCGGGGGGCGAGUAGAGUGGUUUCCCGGUGAGUAACACGAAAGUAAUCUACCUUUGGAUUGGGAAUAGCCACCGGAAACGGUGGCUAAUACCGAAUAAUGCAGCGGCACCUAAUGGUGACAGUUGUUAAAGCGGGGGAUCGCAAGACCUCGCGUCUGAAGAGGAGCCUGCGGCAGAUUAGCUAGUUGGUAAGGUAACGGCUUACCAAGGCUAUGAUCUGUAGCCGGCCUGAGAGGGCGGUCGGCCACACUGACACUGACAUACGGGUCAGACUCCUACGGGAGGCAGCAGUGGG